AUUGAACGCUGGCGGCAGGCCUAACACAUGCAAGUCGAACGAGUGGCGGACGGGUGAGUAAUGUCUGGGAAACUGCCUGAUGGAGGGGGAUAACUACUGGAAACGUUAGCUAAUACCGCAUACCAUCAGAUGUGCCCAGACGGGCUUGGCUAUUUGGUGGGGUAACGGCUAACCAGGGCGACGAUCCCUAGCUGGGCUGAGAGGAUGACCAGCCAAACGGGAACUGAGAAACGGUCCAGACUCCUACGGGAGGAAGCAGUGGGGAAUAUUGCACAAUGGGCGCAAGCCUGAUGCAGACAGGCCGCGGGGAUGAAGAGGGCUUUCGGGUUGUAAAGUACUUUCAGCGGGGAGGCGUUACCCGCAGAAGAAGCACCGGCUAACUCCGUGCCAGCAGCCGCGGUAAUUC
rnacentral:rRNA from 1 species